GCCCAGCUAGGUCAGUUGGUAGAGCAUGGGACUCUUAUUCCCUGGGUCGUGGGUUCAAGCCCCAGUGUUGGGCG